GAGUUUGAUCAUGGCUCAGAACGAACGCUGGCGGCAUGCCUAACACAUGCAAGUCGAACGAGACCUUCGGGUCUAGUGGCGCACGGGUGCGUAACGCGUGGGAAUCUGCCCUUGGGUCCGGAAUAACAGUGAGAAAUUACUGCUAAUACCGGAUGAUGUCUUCGGACCAAAGAUUUAUCGCCCAGGGAUGAGCCCGCGUAAGAUUAGCCAGUUGGUGGGGUAAAGGCCUACCAAGGCGACGAUCUUUAGCUGGUCUGAGAGGAUGAUCAGCCACACUGGGACUGAGACACGGCCCAGACUCCUACGGGAGGCAGCAGUGGGGAAUAUUGGACAAUGGGCGAAAGCCUGAUCCAGCAAUGCCGCGUGAGUGAUGAAGGCCUUAGGGUUGUAAAGCUCUUUUACCCGGGAUGAUAAUGACAGUACCGGGAGAAUAAGCCCCGGCUAACUCCGUGCCAGCAGCCCGGUAAG
rnacentral:rRNA from 1 species